AGAGUUUGAUCCUGGCUCAGGAUGAACGCUGGCGGCGUGCCUAACACAUGCAAGUCGAACGAGGUAUUUUGAUUGAAGUUUUCGGAUGGAUUUCAAGAUACCGAGUGGCGGACGGGUGAGUAACGCGUGGGUAACCUGCCUCAUACAGGGGGAUAACGGUUAGAAAUGACUGCUAAUACCGCAUAAGCGCACAGUACCGCAUGGUACGGUGUGAAAAACUCCGGUGGUAUGAGAUGGACCCGCGUCUGAUUAGCUAGUUGGUGAGGUAACGGCCCACCAAGGCGACGAUCAGUAGCCGACCUGAGAGGGUGACCGGCCACAUUGGGACUGAGACACGGCCCAGACUCCUACGGGAGGCAGCAGUGGGGGAUAUUGCACAAUGGAGGAAACUCUGAUGCAGCGACGCCGCGUGAGUGAAGAAGUAUUUCGGUAUGUAAAGCUCUAUCAGCAGGGAAGAAAAUGACGGUACCUGACUAAGAAGCCCCGGCUAACUACGUGCCAGCAGCCGCGGUAAUACGUAGGGGGCAAGCGUUAUCCAGAUUUACUGGGUGUAAAGGGAGCGUAGACGGCGACGCAAGUCUGAAGUGAAAUACCCGGGCUCAACCUGGGAACUGCUUUGGAAACUGUGUUGCUGGAGUGCUGGAGAGGUAAGCGGAAUUCCUAGUGUAGCGGUGAAAUGCGUAGAUAUUAGGAAGAACACCAGUGGCGAAGGCGGCUUACUGGACAGUAACUGACGUUGAGGCUCGAAAGCGUGGGGAGCAAACAGGAUUAGAUACCCUGGUAGUCCACGCCCUAAACGAUGAAUGUUAGUCGUCGGGUAGCUAGUCUAUUCGGUGAUGCAGCUAACGCAUUAAACAUUCCGCCUGGGGAGUACGGUCGCAAGAUUAAAACUCAAAGGAAUAGACGGGGACCCGCACAAGUGGUGGAGCAUGUGGUCUAAUUCGAAGAUACGCGAAGAACCUUACCUAGCCUUGACAUAUAUUAGAACACCCUAGAGAUAGAGUGGUGCCUUCGGGAGCUUUUAUACAGGUGCUGCACGGCUGUCGUCAGCUCGUGUCGUGAGAUGUUGGGUUAAGUCCCGCAACGAGCGCAACCCUCGUCGCUAGUUACUAACGGUUCGGCCGAGGACUCUAGUGAGACUGCCUUCGUAAGGAGGAGGAAGGUGAGGACGACGUCAAGUCAUCAUGGCCCUUACGGCUAGGGCAACACACGUGCUACAAUGGCCAGGACAAUGAGAAGCGAUACCGCGAGGUGGAGCAAAUCUAUAAACCUGGUCUCAGUUCGGAUUGUAGUCUGCAACUCGACUACAUGAAGCUGGAAUCACUAGUAAUCGUAGAUCAGCUAUGCUACGGUGAAUACGUUCCCGGGUCUUGUACUCACCGCCCGUCACACCAUGGGAGUUGAUUUCACCCGAAGCGGGGAAGCUAAACUGGCUACCCUCCACGGUGGAAUUAGCGACUGGGGUGAAGUCGUAACAAGGUA
rnacentral:rRNA from 1 species